GAUGAACGCUGGCGGCGUGCCUAGUACAUGCAAGUCGAGCGAACAGACGAGGAGCUUGCUCCUCUGACGUUAGCGGCGGACGGGUGAGUAACACGUGGAUAACCUACCUAUAAGACUGGGAUAACUUCGGGAAACCGGAGCUAAUACCGGAUAAUAUAUUGAACCGCAUGGUUCAAUAGUGAAAGACGGUUUUGCUGUCACUUAUAGAUGGAUCCGCGCCGCAUUAGCUAGUUGGUAAGGUAACGGCUUACCAAGGCGACGAUGCGUAGCCGACCUGAGAGGGUGAUCGGCCACACUGGAACUAAGACACGGUCCAGACUCCUACGGGAGGCAGCAGUAGGGAAUCUUCCGCAAUGGGCGAAAGCCUGACGGAGCAACGCCGCGUGAGUGAUGAAGGUCUUCGGAUCGUAAAACUCUGUUAUUAGGGAAGAACAAAUGUGUAAGUAACUAUGCACGUCUUGACGGUACCUAAUCAGAAAGCCACGGCUAACUACGUG
rnacentral:rRNA from 1 species